CCUACGGGUGGCAGCAGUGAGGAAUAUUGGUCAAUGGACGAGAGUCUGAACCAGCCAAGUAGCGUGAAGGAUGACUGCCCUAUGGGUUGUAAACUUCUUUUAUAUGGGAAUAAAACGUUCCACGUGUGGGAUUUUGUAUGUACCAUAUGAAUAAGGAUCGGCUAACUCCGUGCCAGCAGCCGCGGUAAUACGGAGGAUCCGAGCGUUAUCCGGAUUUAUUGGGUUUAAAGGGAGCGUAGGUGGAUUGUUAAGUCAGUUGUGAAAGUUUGCGGCUCAACCGUAAAAAUGCAGUUGAAACUGGCAGUCUUGAGUACAGUAGAGGUGGGCGGAAUUCGUGGUGUAGCGGUGAAAUGCUUAGAUAUCACGAAGAACUCCGAUUGCGAAGGCAGUUCACUGGACUGCAACUGACACUGAGGCUCGAAAGUGUGGGUAUCAAACAGGAUUAGAUACCCCAGUAGUC
rnacentral:rRNA from 1 species